GAAAUCCUUCCCAUGACAAGCUCAGUAGAUGCUACCAUCAUCACUAAUGAAGACAUGGCACAUUUCUGGUGCAUCCUGUCCUCAUUCACAUCUGAUGCAGCACUCCCUCUCUGGGAGGUUGGGCUGCUCUCAUCAUUCCAAGGCUUUGUUCACUUAGAGACACUCAUCUUGAAAGAAGUGUGAGCGUGGAAAGCAUGAGGACACAGCCUUAGGAGCACUGGGGACAGCUCUGUUACAGGAGUUUGCAUGCAGAACAGAGGAACUGCAGUCCAAGGAAUGCUUUGGCUAUGGAUGUCUGAAGCAGGAGUUUAAGGAGAAGGUACCAUGGAAAAGCACCUGAGCUCUUUUGCCAAGAUAAGGAUUCCUUUGCAAUCAUCCCUACAUUAGAGGAAUCAGAUCUUUUUGUCUAAUUAUUACCUCUGAA
rnacentral:lncRNA from 12 species